UCCUGGCCCUGCUUGCAGGGCCCCCCAGGCUGCUGGCCCCGGGGGGUCCGCUCCCCCUCCAGCCCUGGGUGGGUUAUCGUUUCUCAGCCUCUUGAAGGCUCAGAUUGUUGCACAAACGGCUAGUUUCGUGCCCCUGGAGGCUUGUCCAAUCCACCCCAGGAGAGAGUCACACACAGGCUAGGUCCAAUUUCAGAUUUAUUUGUUUGCAAACAGACCGACCCAGGAGUUGUGCCACUCGGAUCAAGGGUUGACCACAAACUGGGUCUGAAACGUCUUUUUAUAGCCAAGGUAAACAAUAGAUUUCAACGUAUCGUGCAAUUAUUGGCAGACUUAGCAUUACGUCUUGCAUCGUAUGUCUAGCAGUUACAUGUUCUAUGAUGGUUUACAUACAUGUCUCAUUUACAUCUUAAAUCCCCUCCCAGGGGCAGUUCUUAAGCCCCUCGCGGUCAUCCUUCGGUCAGGGUCUGGUCUCUCCACCUCAGCAUCUUCCCUGCCCCUCUUCUCUUAUCUCUCGUAAGGAGUUAUUUAUUGCAUCUGUUCCUGGCUCUGUCUGUAGAAGUCUUUGUGCAUACUCGUAAAUCUAUCAUUAGCAUAUAUGCCUUAGCAAAAGCAAUUAUGAAAAUACGUAGAAGCAAUUAUAAAAGCAGGAAAAUAUAGAUUAUGCUAUAUUUUUACCACAAGAUCAGUUUGGCGGUCAGGCGCAGGUCCGGCCACUGCCUGGUCGGGCCUCGGGAGGCCAAGCGCUGGGAGGAGAGCAGGGAUGGCGACGGCGAGGGCGAUGAUGGAGGUGACGGUGGCAAUGGAGUUGGUGGAGCAGACGGGAGCGGAGCGGAGGCAAAGAGAGCAAGAUCCAGGCAAGAGUGGGCAGAGAAGUCGGGAGACGGGAGGAGGUGAGCGGAGCAGAGACGGAGAUAACCCCUUGUCAAAAGAAGAGACAAUGAUUUACACUAUUGAGAAUGCUUGAAGCAGCUGAACUGAGGGUAUAAAAGUCUGUAUAUAAAAAAAAAAAAAAGUGUGCUUGCUUCAAGAAGAAAGAAAGAAGAAAAACUCCUGCGCUGACACCAUCCUCUGUUGAUGUGUUCUUCCAGCGUCCCAAGAACAUCUCCCUUCAAGGACUGUGCCUGUCAGCUUUGCAGCCUGAGUACCUUGGACUGGUGAGAUACCAGUGCUCGCUCUCUCUCUUUUCUCUCUAGGCAUAAACUUCUGAACCUGAAGUGUCAUAGUUAAGCUUGAGCUAAGUUUCCCCAAAUACUUAGUGAAACCAGGGUAGUACUGUAAUUGUUUGUGUGUGUUUUUCUUUUGCAUAUCUAUUACUACUAGUACCAUUAUAUAUUUCAUAUGCUUAGCAAUAAAUAACUUUUAUAGUCAAA